UUUCCAAAAAUUGAACGUUCAAGUCUGAUCGGACAAGAUCGGAAUAUCAUAGUUUCAGAAGAUAUCGUCUACCCUCGAUCAAUUACUGUCGAUAUUGUCAAAAGGAAGAUAUACUGGAUGGAUUAUUAUGUUGGUCGUGUGUUCCAAUCUGAUUUUGAGGGAAAGUCAAGAAAAAAAAUCCAAAUAACCCCUUUGGCCGGUAUGAUGUUUGGUGAAAUGCAGCAAUUUUCCGGCAGUUUACUUGUUGCUUUCACCAAACAGAAAGACAGCUUGGAAGUGAUGACUUUGGACACAAGUACUCACUCACCCUUAUCUUGUAUUAAAGUCAAUAUAUCUGGUACACCUUCCAUAGCACUUUUGGACACUCAAAGAGAUCUCCAUGCAAUCAACCAUACAUGUGAGUAUAUUGUUGUGAGCGAAAAUAAACAAACAACUUGUCUAUGCGGAGAAGGUUUUGUACUGAACUCGGACGGCCGCACAUGUGCGAGUGAAGCAAAAUUUCGUGC